rnacentral:rRNA from 1 species
UAGGGAAUCUUCCGCAAUGGACGCAAGUCUGACGGAGCAACGCCGCGUGAGUGAAGAAGGAUUUCGGUUCGUAAAACUCUGUUGUUAGAGAAGAACAGCGCAUAGAGUAACUGUUAUGCGUGUGACGGUAUCUAACCAGAAAGCCACGGCUAACUACGUGCCAGCAGCCGCGGUAAUACGUAGGUGGCAAGCGUUGUCCGGAUUUAUUGGGCGUAAAGCGAGCGCAGGCGGUCAAUUAAGUCUGAUGUGAAAGCCCCCGGCUCAACCGGGGAGGGUCAGUGGAAACUGGUUGACUUGAGUGCAGAAGAGGAGAGUGGAAUUCCAUGUGUAGCGGUGAAAUGCGUAGAUAUAUGGAGGAACACCAGUGGCGAAGGCGACUCUCUGGUCUGUAACUGACGCUGAGGCUCGAAAGCGUGGGUAGCAAACAGG